CUACAAUAUCAGAGAUGGUGGAUUCCUGGGACGUGGACUGCUGAGUAACAAUGAACAAAGUCUCCCUGUUGCUUGUGAUGGGAAUGUAGCUUCAGUGAGAAAUAAGCCCUAUUUUCAGCCACUAUGAUUUAGGGAUUUAUUUGUUAUUGUAGCACAACUUAGCCCACCUUGCCUGAUACAUAUGCCUUCUUCAGUUUUCUAUCCCUAUACACCUUGCCCUAUUCCUAGCACAAUGUAGAGACACAGCAAUAAUUCUUGUCACAAGUUUUUGUCUUGGCUGUGAAAGUGACUUCAAAGACCAAACUCUAUGUCCUAAUGCAUACUAUUCCUGUGUCCCUAACUUCUUCCCUGAUGAUACAGGACUCUAUGGACGUGACUAAAAACAUUCCUGUGCAAAGAGGUGCACAUGCCAACUCCUAUGACCUCAUAACAUAUCAGACAAGCUCCUGGGUGGAUCCCAAGACAACUAUGAGCUGCCAUCACCUACCUGCCCUGCUGAUGGAGAAGAAUCUGGAAACCCAUUGACUUCAACCUUCAGAGCAACUCCCUGGGAAAACAUCAUGCUCUUCUUAGUCCUCUACCCUGUGGCCCUUUCCUCUUGUCAGUUCAUCUGGUCCCAAAGAAACCUCUCCCAUUCUCUAAUAGGACCAACAAAUUGGCUGGACUCAGGGUAAAAUUGCCAGAUCUAAACAGACCUACCAGCCAGAGGGAAGUAGUACUACUGUCAACAGUGGAUGAGCUGCGACUUAGGCAUGAUCCCCACAUCCUGCUCCACUCCUUUCUCCGCUCAUUUUGGUAAGUAGCUCCAAGCUUAAACUCCACCCCUAGGCAUGCGGUUCCCUUCUUCAUCAUGCAUUAUUCACCUGGCCCUCA